rnacentral:rRNA from 2 species
AAAUUGAAGAGUUUGAUCAUGGCUCAGAUUGAACGCUGGCGGCAGGCCUAACACAUGCAAGUCGAGCGGUAGCACAGGAGAGCUUGCUCUCUGGGUGACGAGCGGCGGACGGGUGAGUAAUGUCUGGGAAACUGCCUGAUGGAGGGGGAUAACUACUGGAAACGGUAGCUAAUACCGCAUAACGUCGCAAGACCAAAGAGGGGGACCUUCGGGCCUCUUGCCAUCAGAUGUGCCCAGAUGGGAUUAGCUAGUAGGUGGGGUAACGGCUCACCUAGGCGACGAUCCCUAGCUGGUCUGAGAGGAUGACCAGCCACACUGGAACUGAGACACGGUCCAGACUCCUACGGGAGGCAGCAGUGGGGAAUAUUGCACAAUGGGCGCAAGCCUGAUGCAGCCAUGCCGCGUGUAUGAAGAAGGCCUUCGGGUUGUAAAGUACUUUCAGCGGGGAGGAAGGCGAUAAGGUUAAUAACCUUGUCGAUUGACGUUACCCGCAGAAGAAGCACCGGCUAACUCCGUGCCAGCAGCCGCGGUAAUACGGAGGGUGCAAGCGUUAAUCGGAAUUACUGGGCGUAAAGCGCACGCAGGCGGUCUGUCAAGUCGGAUGUGAAAUCCCCGGGCUCAACCUGGGAACUGCAUUCGAAACUGGCAGGCUAGAGUCUUGUAGAGGGGGGUAGAAUUCCAGGUGUAGCGGUGAAAUGCGUAGAGAUCUGGAGGAAUACCGGUGGCGAAGGCGGCCCCCUGGACAAAGACUGACGCUCAGGUGCGAAAGCGUGGGGAGCAAACAGGAUUAGAUACCCUGGUAGUCCACGCCGUAAACGAUGUCGACUUGGAGGUUGUGCCCUUGAGGCGUGGCUUCCGGAGCUAACGCGUUAAGUCGACCGCCUGGGGAGUACGGCCGCAAGGUUAAAACUCAAAUGAAUUGACGGGGGCCCGCACAAGCGGUGGAGCAUGUGGUUUAAUUCGAUGCAACGCGAAGAACCUUACCUACUCUUGACAUCCAGAGAACUUUCCAGAGAUGGAUUGGUGCCUUCGGGAACUCUGAGACAGGUGCUGCAUGGCUGUCGUCAGCUCGUGUUGUGAAAUGUUGGGUUAAGUCCCGCAACGAGCGCAACCCUUAUCCUUUGUUGCCAGCGGUCCGGCCGGGAACUCAAAGGAGACUGCCAGUGAUAAACUGGAGGAAGGUGGGGAUGACGUCAAGUCAUCAUGGCCCUUACGAGUAGGGCUACACACGUGCUACAAUGGCGCAUACAAAGAGAAGCGACCUCGCGAGAGCAAGCGGACCUCAUAAAGUGCGUCGUAGUCCGGAUUGGAGUCUGCAACUCGACUCCAUGAAGUCGGAAUCGCUAGUAAUCGUAGAUCAGAAUGCUACGGUGAAUACGUUCCCGGGCCUUGUACACACCGCCCGUCACACCAUGGGAGUGGGUUGCAAAAGAAGUAGGUAGCUUAACCUUCGGGAGGGCGCUUACCACUUUGUGAUUCAUGACUGGGGUGAAGUCGUAACAAGGUAACCGUAGGGGAACCUGCGGUUGGAUCACCUCCUUACCUUAAAGAA